AGCAGCCGCGGUAAUUCCAGCUCCAAUAGCGUAUAUUAAAGUUGUUGCAGUUAAAAAGCUCGUAGUUGAAUUUCGGGAUCAAUUAAUUGGUCGUGCCUCUGGUACGUACUGAUUUUAUUGGUUUCUCCCUUCUGACGAACCAUGAUGUCAUUAAUUUGGUGUCGUGGAGAAUCAGGACUGUUACUUUGAAAAAAUUAGAGUGUUUAAAGCAAGCUAACGCUUGAAUACAUUAGCAUGGAAUAAUGAAAUAGGACGUUUGAUCCUAUUUUGUUGGUUUCUAGGAUCGACGUAAUGAUUAAUAGGGAUAGUUGGGGGCAUUAGUAUUCAAUUGUCAGAGGUGAAAUUCUUGGAUUUAUUGAAGACUAACUACUGCGAAAGCAUUUGCCAAGGAUGUUUUCAUUAAUCAAGAACGAAAGUUAGGGGAUCGAAGACGAUCAGAUACCGUCGUAGUCUUAACCAUAAACUAUGCCGACUA
rnacentral:rRNA from 1 species